UUGAUGCAGCAGAAAGGUGCAAGAAUGGCGAACCUCUAUAUGACCAGGAUUUAGAAUCAAGAUCUGGAACCGACAGCCAUGAGCUCCUGAUGUUUAAGAAUGCAGCCUUGGAAGUCAAUGGUGGAACACAAGCAGAUAUCAGGCUACUAGGCAUGGGUUUACAUGCCCUGGUGUUUGUAAAAGCACAUCUAGCCACAGGAGGCAUUGUGUAUCCAUUUAGAAUCAUUUUCAAGUACCCACACACAGUGACGGUGAUGUGGACAAUGGAGAGAAAUGGACAGCUAUUUAGUGCUCCUUGUUCAUUCUAAACAGCGAUCGCCAUGGCUUCAAAAUGGUAAAAGAUAGUGACGGCGACGAUGGGGAGAAAGCGAGCGGCAAUCGUUAAGGACAAUGAAGAUGGUGGCUUCAAGCGUUGCGGCAGCUUAAGGCUGUCUAGGGUUUGAAAGCAAAAUUGCGAUGUCUCCGUCAGUCUCGUUUGGAUGGGGAUGAGAGAAUAGGAC
rnacentral:misc_RNA from 1 species